rnacentral:rRNA from 1 species
AUUGAACGCUGGCGGCAUGCCUUACACAUGCAAGUCGAACGGUAACAGGUCUUCGGAUGCUGACGAGUGGCGAACGGGUGAGUAAUACAUCGGAACGUGCCUAGUAGUGGGGGAUAACUACUCGAAAGAGUGGCUAAUACCGCAUGAGAUCUACGGAUGAAAGCAGGGAAUCGCAAGACCUUGUGCUACUAGAGCGGCCGAUGGCAGAUUAGGUAGUUGGUGGGAUAAAAGCUUACCAAGCCGACGAUCUGUAGCUGGUCUGAGAGGACGAUCAGCCACACUGGGACUGAGACACGGCCCAGACUCCUACGGGAGGCAGCAGUGGGGAAUUUUGGACAAUGGGCGCAAGCCUGAUCCAGCAAUGCCGCGUGCAGGAUGAAGGCCUUCGGGUUGUAAACUGCUUUUGUACGGAACGAAAAGCCCUGGGUUAAUACCCUGGGGUCAUGACGGUACCGUAAGAAUAAGCACCGGCUAACUACGUACCAGCAGCCGCAGUAAGAC